rnacentral:rRNA from 1 species
UACGUAGGGUGCAAGCGUUAAUCGGAAUUACUGGGCGUAAAGCGUGCGCAGGCGGUGAUGUAAGACAGAUGUGAAAUCCCUGGGCUCAACCCAGGAACUGCGUCCGAUACUGGAAGGCUUGAAUCCGGGAGAGGGAUGCGGAAUUCCAGGUGUAGCGGUGAAAUGCGUAGAUAUCGGGAGGAACACCAGUGGCGAAGGCGGCUACCUGGCCCACUCUUGACGCUGAGGCGCGAAAGCUAGGGGAGCAAACGGG